UAAGGAAUAUUGGUCAAUGGACGCAAGUCUGAACCAGCCAUGCCGCGUGAAGGAUUAAGGUCCUCUGGAUUGUAAACUUCUUUUAUAGGGGGCGAAACACUCUUUUUCUAGAGAGCUUGACAGUACCCUAUGAAUAAGCACCGGCUAACUCCGUGCCAGCAGCCGCGGUAAUACGGAGGGUGCAAGCGUUAUCCGGAUUUACUGGGUUUAAAGGGUGCGUAGGCGGAUUUGUAAGUCUGAGGUGAAAUCUCCGAGCUUAACUCGGAAACUGCCUUGGAUACUAUAAGUCUUGAAUGUCGUUGAGGUUAGCGGAAUAUGUCAUGUAGCGGUGAAAUGCUUAGAUAUGACAUAGAACACCUAUUGCGAAGGCAGCUGACUAAGCGAAUAUUGACGCUGAUGCACGAAAGCGUGGGGAUCAAACAGG
rnacentral:rRNA from 1 species